CCCAGAAUGUAAACUGCCAUUGACAGAGAUGCAUGAAAGAAUCAUAACAGGGAAACCUGCUGCAAUUUUUCAUCCAGUUACCAGCUGAAUCAUUGCUGUUAAACUAAAGGAGCAAGCUACCAGCCCAGCACUGACAUGGAAGAGUUCUUCAGAUGUCGUUGUGUGCACAAAGCAACCUUAUAGUCUGACUGGCAUUUGCUCCUUUUCAUGCUUGCAGACUGAUAAUUAUUGUGCACUGCCUCAAGCUUGCAAUUAGAGGCCACCAAGAAACAAAAAAAGUUGAAUUUCAAGAUUGAACCUUUUCUAUGGAUAGUUGCAUUUUCCCAGCACGAUGACUAUUGUUAGGAGUGGAUGCAGAGAAGGCACCUGUGCCAAGCUGUUAACAGCUAACCUACAAAAGUGACUUUAACCAGGACAUAAAGAUGUCCAAGAAUAUAUGAAUUCAAAAGAAAUGUGACAGAAUUAAAAAUGAAUGAUCUCUCAAGAAAACCCUAGUAGUUACUCAAGGAAACCAAACUGAGACAGAGGCACCACCCUGAAUGCUUAAAGAAUUAAGCUGUCUACGUUGCCAUCAGGGGAUGAUUCUGAAAUCUAAGAUCUCCUCAACUGAGAGGCAGUGCUGGAACGUGAAGACCCACUCAAAUCACUGCCAUUGAUCAAGUGACCUAAACUGGUAGAAACUGUUU